GAUAUUUUCAAAGAGACAUUCAAUAAAAUUGGAAUGGUACGGAGAAGAUUAGCAUAUCCCCUGCGCAAAAGAUGGCACACAUAAACCGAAAAAUGGAUUUUUUUUAA